rnacentral:rRNA from 1 species
UACGAAGGGGGCUAGCGUUGUUCGGAAUUACUGGGCGUAAAGCGCACGUAGGCGGACUUUUAAGUCAGGUGUGAAAUCCCUCGGCUCAACCGAGGAACUGCGCCCGAGACUGCUUCUCUUGAGUCCCGGAGAGGAAGGUGGAAUUCCCGGUGUAGCGGUGAAAUGUGUAGAGAUCGGGAGGAACACCGGUGGCGAAGGCGGCCUUCUGGACGGUGACUGACGCUGAGGCGCGAAAGCGUGGGGAGCAAACGGG